rnacentral:lncRNA from 1 species
CAGAAGGCCGACAUAGGCGUAUCCGAUGGAUUGAGACACGGCCAAUACAAAAAAACAUAUUUCAAUCUUAAACAGACGGAUUUUGAUUUUGAUAAUAUUAUGUUAUUUAGGGCUUGGGGGAUGAGGGUUUGGGGGCUGAGGGCUUGGGGGAUGAGGGCUUGGAGGUUGUGGGCCUGGGGGCUGAGGGGGAUAGAUGGGUAUGGGAUGUGAAUGGUGGGAGGGUUUAAGCAGGCAUAGCCAAUCAGGGCAGGUUAUAGGGAAACCAUCAUGUUCACAUUUUCCCAGUAACUAACUCUAACUCCUGGGCCCUUCAUGUAGAUCUGAAAGGAUUAGUAAUGACUCAAAGCCAUUUGAUGAAUGUGCUGUAUUGCUUACACCUUUCAGAUCUGUCUAAGUGCCUAUAGGGGAGAGGAGCUGUAGGGACCAUAUGGACAAUAGGCAGGAAUAAAACAGAGCCAGCGGUGACUCUGUGUACGAGUUGAUUCAACAAUGAUGACCCUAAAUAUCCUGUAAGGAAAGAGCACCAGGACACUAGCUCUAUAUGAACCAGUCCAAUUAAAAUAUGUGGAUGUUCAGACAGCAUGAAACAUGAAUAGCAUGAAAGAAAAUCACUAUUUCAUGUUUACUGGGAACCAUUUAUUAGUGUGUUCUUGUGGCAAUGACAUACUGUACAUGUUACAUGCACGUACUGUAUUGAUCUGUAUUUGUGCGUAUGCAUGUGCGUGUAUAUACACUUCUGAGUUAUGUCUGUUGUCCAGGGAUUCCUCUGGAUGCUGGUGUGUGUGUGUGUGUGUGUGUGUGUGUGUGUGUGUGUGUGUGUGUGUGUGUGUGUGUGUGUGUGUGUGUGUGUGUGUGUGUGUGUGUGUGUGUGUGUGUGUGUGUGUGUGUGUGUGUUACCUGCGAGUUAUGCCUGCUGUCCAGGCCAUCCUCAGAGUGCUGUCCCUCAGGACUCCAGUUGCCUACUCUCUGGGACAUCUCCUGAGCCCGCACUGUCACCCACGACUGGCUCUCUGGAACCCCCCUCCACCGGUCUACAACACACAGACAGUCAGACAGGCCCCUCGCACACACACACACCACCUCCCUCCACCGGUCUACAACACACACGGAUAGACAAACACUGACACACGCAUGCAUACACACAAACCAGGCCCCAUAUACAUCACCUUCAUCAGACCCAUGCAUUCAGCACUUGUAUGAGGCUAACUGAAUGCACUCAUCCCCACAAACCCAUACACCAGCCUUUCUGAACCCACUACACACGCACAUACACAUACACACAGUGGUCCUCUACACGUGAGGCGUGUCCGCCCAGCGUGUCGUCCUGCUCCUCCUUCUCAUGGAUGACACUCCACCUGUGGAGCCACUACCCAUCCUCCCUCUGGCUGCAAAGAAAGAGGGAGAGAGAAAACAGAGAGAGAGGGAGAGGACAGAGAGACCCAGAGAGAGAGAGUUGGAGGGGGGGGACAGGGGUCUACUCACAGGCUGUUGACGGGGUCUGCCGGUUGGGUAGGAGGGAGGCUGAGAGGCCCGUCCUGGAUGGGGGAGGGCGGCUCCACGCGCUGAAACAGUAAUGUCGUUCGAUUCUGUGUGAGAUACAACAUGGCCGCUGGCUUUAAGGUAGACAUACAGGAAAUGGGGAAGGUGGAGAAGAAAGUGAGUUCAGAGCAGGUCACAGCAUCCAGGGGGGAGGAAGGGUUUCAGUCAGCAGGGGCUGACUGAGCCAGAGCGCAUUCUGGGAGGGGAGUUGGAGUCCUGCUGUAAAUGUGAGAAUGGAAGGCUCAUGCCAAUGACUCAUCUACUUCCAGGUCACCAUGAAUGAAGGGCAUUAACCAGAGCCUUAGCCACUGUAUAUGACCUACAGUAUACAGUACCUAGCUAUGGAUUAGGAAGUGUUCCGUUGGAUGCUACAAAGAGGUCUGGAUUUGUCUGGCAUUAAUUAAGGUCUUUGUCUACAGUAUUUUUUAUCUUAUCAGACAAUUUGCAUGUUGCUCAUAGGAACACAUCUCAAAUGACACACUAUUUCUGAUUUUCACCUAGGCUUUGAUUCAAAAGAAGUGCACUAUAACAUGAAAAGGGUGCCAUUCAAUACACAACCCAUUCGACAGGAUGGACAGUGUUUACCUCUUGACCUGAUUGGAUUUCAACCUUGACAUUUGACCCCCAUUUGACCUCAAGCAGCCAAAUGAUCACUAUCGGCAACCAGGAAAUUAGAGUUGGUGGGUGCAGUUUGAGCCAGUCAAACAAUCCAUCAGAGCAGUAGAACAGCAAGACCAGGGAGGGAAUAAGGAAAAGUUGAACAAGGCAGAACAUCAGUGCAAAACCAAUGGACAGAUCCAUCAGGAAGAGAACAUUCCAAGUUUCUGUUGAAAACAGACGUUGACACAUAAGGAGAGGAGGGAGAAUAGUCAGGAAAUAAUAUAAAAAUGAUGAUAGAGAAAGGAAGACAGGAGAGGAUGAGAAAAGGAAAGAAUAGAGGUAGAAGUCCAUGUGAGCGAAUAUCGAGAGAGAAAGGGGACACAAGGAGGGAUAGAGGAAGGAUGAAAAAGAGAGAGGAAGACGAGGACUAGGAGUAGAAGGGGUCUUUGUAGAAGGGGUCUACAUAGAACCCAAAGGGGUUCUACAUGGAACCAAAAGGGUUAUAUCUGGAACCAAAAAGGGUUCAUCAAAUGGUUCUCCUAUGGGGACAGCUUAAGAACUCUUUUAGGUUCUAGAUAGCACCUGUUUUUCUUAGUGUAGGUGAAAUGCAUGGUGGGAGUAAGUGUGUUCAAAUAACCACAUACAGUGUCAUUCAGUUAUUACACAUCCACUUAAAACUGACCAACUGCUACUUUUAUGUCCGUAAGAUAUCUGGGCAAAAUGUUGUUGGGCCGCAUUUGGUUUCCUGCUGUGGGCCGUAAACCAUGCCGGCAGUGGGCCACUCCUGGGCCAGUAUAUACUUGCUAGCUGGAAUGGAUUAUCAAUGGUAAGUAGCUGUUUUGGUUUAAGGAUUUCACGAGCCAUGGAGGGUCAAGUUUAAAGUGGAUGGAUCACAAAGGUUCCAGGUCACACAAGGAAAUAGCACACAAAUAUUUUUCCAAACAAUAUUUGUCCAAUUGUCAUUUCUAAACACUUGGAACAGUUAUUGUCCGAACCUGAACCGUUCGAAGCAAGGGUAUUCCCAUUCUCCAGGUCCCACCCCUAGUCUCACAUCAUGACAAACCACAUGCUUAUCUACGGCAGCAAGCUCUACCUGGAAUCAUGCAGGGAAGAAACUCUCAUCACUGGGAUAGACGCUACCCUACACUAUGUCUCUCCUUACCAAACACUAUGGUAAUAAUACUGUCUGAGAUGGCGCAAGGGGGAGGAGAGUGAGGGGCAGCUCAGUAAGAGGAGGUGUAGAGAGGGGUACAGGGGAGAGGGGAGAGGAUGUGUAGGGGUAAAGGGUGGGAGAGCAGACAUUGGCUGGAGAGCAGGAUGGGUGACGAUUAGAUGAGGAUGUGUCAGUGACAUCAUCAAUGUUUGAUAACAUUCAUUGCUCAAGAAACUCCAGUUCGUGAGUGUUUGUGCUCUGUACAUGUUUGUGAUCAUGGGUAAGUACACCUUGGGAGCAUUAGAGUAAAAGCACAAGGACCAGCUGGGUGGUAUGGUUGUGGUAUGGUUGUGGUUGUGAAUGAAGACCAUGAAGACAUGGUCACGGUCAAAAGUUCAAUGACUUGACUCUAAGUAUUGGGUGACCAACUCUUGAGUCUUCUCAGCUUGUCUUAUGAGUCUUCCAUUGUAGUUCGACAGGUGAUAGAGGGUGGUUUCUACAGUUGUUUAGAUGGUAUCUCCAUGAUAGCUCCAUCAUGUUCCUGAGGAGUUCCUGUGACUUGUCCAAUCAAACUAUCCCCUGACUCAUACUGUAGGUCCCAUCCAACCAACUCUUCAAAAAGCAUGUACGUAUACAAAUCUAUACACAUGGCUAAGGCAGGUUUGAGGUCAGUUUUUAAAGCUCAGACAGAGCCAGACUCUCUCAACUAACUCCUAGAUCUUUCAAUAUCCUGCCUCUCUCACGCCCUUCACCUCAUGUGUCAGAGAAAAAGAGUUAAGAUCAUUGUUUAAACGUUGAAUUUAGUGACUAUCCCUUCAAGACCAACCUCUUCCUUGUGCUAUCCUACAAGGAAGGAAUGCCAGAUGGCAGCAAUGAAGUCAUGAGGAAUUGAUAUGGCUGAGAGUUGUGUGUAGAGUGGUGGCAGGUGGCCAUAGCAGAGCAGGGAAAGUGGCAUGCUUAGAGUGCAAUGAGAGAGGAGGAGUAGGAGGAGAGGAGGAGUAGGACUCUGUCUGUAAAAUAGGAAACCGUGCAUGUGUGUGCGUGAGAAAUACAAAUAAAACAAAUAAAACAAUCUCUGUAAUUGAAAACGUCAUCUUUUACUUUACACUUAAAUUGUUUCUGUAACUGUGUUACAAAUACUGCUACAAUUUUAACGUUUUAUCGUCAGUGGCUUCACAUGUGACUACAAGAUCCACUGUAUUGGUUGUAUAUGCAUUCUCUCUGUCAACAGGGAAUAGGGGGCUACAGUGCAAUGCUACAGUCCAGGGUGUAGGGCAACAGUCCAAGGCCAGGAUGUGGCUAAAGGCUUGGGAAGACUAGCAUCAUCAUCAUCAUCAUCAUCAUCAUCAUCAUCACUAGCAGUGGAUUCACAGCCAGGGAAAGGGAGGAUAAAGAGAAACAGGCUUAGGUGAGGAAUGUACAUUAACGUCGUACAGUCUUCGCCAUCCAGAGCUGUGACAAAGACACCCAGCCCAAACCAAUCCAAAGAUGAUCGAGAGGGUUCUCUAUAGCAAGAAAAGUGCCUCUUCUUUAGAAAUAAUCGUGAUUCAGAAUUAUAUAAUUGUGCUUGAAAUAUAAUCUGCUGGUUUUCUGUAUAGAUGCUCUAGCAAUAAUAUAAUAUCAUAUAAAAAUGUAUCGUAAUUUCCGGACUAUUAAGCGCACCUGAAUAUAAGCCGCACCCACUGAAUUUAAAAAAAUAUAUUAUUUUGAACAUAAAUAUUUUUUUUAUUUUGAACAUGUCUAUAAGCCGCAGGUGCCUACCGGUACAUUGAAACAAAUGAACUUUACACAGGCUUUAACGAAACACGGCUUGUAACAAAAAUAAAUAGGCUUUAACGAAACACGGCUUGUAACAAAAAUAAAUAGGCUUUAACGAAACACGGCUUGUAACAAAAAAUAAAAAAUUA